GCUCUGGGAUAGCUUAGCUGGUAGAAUGUGAGUUUCUUAAUCUCAGGGCUGUUGGUUUGAGCCCCAUGUAGGGCU